rnacentral:lncRNA from 1 species
GGAAAAAGAAAACCAUUUUUAAAAAUGAAGAAAGCUUACAGGAAUUAUGAGACAGCAUCAACAGACCAAAAGUUUGAGUCACUGGCAUUUUGGAAAUCUGCAGCUUCAGGGUGAUAAUAAUUUCAGUUGGAGCCUCACUGGUAACCUUGCUCAGCCACACGACUGGAAUGUAAGAGGCUGGGGCAUUUUGGACAGCACAGAUGUUAAACGUGAACACUACCUUCUCAGUAGCACAAAUCUGACUACAUCUUUAAGUCUCCAAGAGGAACAUGAGGACAUGAGCAAUAGAGGAAACCUGGAGGAAGAGGGUGUGGCAUGUUGAAAUUUAAAAAGAAGCAAUGUGUAUUUGCAAGUCAAACCAAUAUAAUAAAAC